rnacentral:rRNA from 1 species
UACGUAGGGGGCAAGCGUUGUCCGGAUUUAUUGGGCGUAAAGAGCGUGUAGGCGGCCAGGUAGGUCCGUUGUGAAAACUGGAGGCUUAACCUCCAGCUGUCGAUGGAAACCAUCUGGCUAGAGUCCGGAAGAGGAGAGUGGAAUUCCUGGUGUAGUGGUGAAAUGCGCAGAUAUCAGGAAGAACACCCGUGGCGAAGGCGGCUCUCUGGGACGGUACUGACGCUGAGACGCGAAAGCGUGGGGAGCGAACAGG